GAAAUGCGAUAAGUAAUGUGAAUUGCAGAAUUCAGUGAAUCAUCGAAUCUUUGAACGCACAUUGCGCCCGGUGGUAUUCUGCCGGGCAUGCCUGUUCGAGCGUCAUUAUAACCACUCAAGCCUGGCUUGGUAUUGGGGUUCGCGGUUCCGCGGCCCCUAAAAUUAGUGGCGGUGCCGGUGGGCUCUAAGCGUAGUAAAUCUCCUCGCUAUAGGGUCCCUCCGGUUGCUCGCCAGAACCCCCGAUUUUUUAAGGUUGACCUCGGAUCAGGUAGGGAUACCCGCUGAACUUAA
rnacentral:misc_RNA from 1 species